rnacentral:rRNA from 1 species
UGAGUAACACGUGGGCAAUCUGCCCUGCACUUCGGGAUAAGCCUGGGAAACUGGGUCUAAUACCGGAUAGGACCUUUAGACGCAUGUCUUUUGGUGGAAAGCUUUUGCGGUGUGGGAUGGGCCCGCGGCCUAUCAGCUUGUUGGUGGGGUGAUGGCCUACCAAGGCGACGACGGGUAGCCGGCCUGAGAGGGUGUCCGGCCACACUGGGACUGAGAUACGGCCCAGACUCCUACGGGAGGCAGCAGUGGGGAAUAUUGCACAAUGGGCGCAAGCCUGAUGCAGCGACGCCGCGUGGGGGAUGACGGCCUUCGGGUUGUAAACCUCUUUCACCAUCGACGAAGGUCCGGGUUUUCUCGGAUUGACGGUAGGUGGAGAAGAAGCACCGGCCAACUACGUGCCAGCAGCCGCGGUAAUACGUAGGGUGCGAGCGUUGUCCGGAAUUACUGGGCGUAAAGAGCUCGUAGGUGGUUUGUCGCGUUGUUCGUGAAAUCUCACGGCUUAACUGUGAGCGUGCGGGCGAUACGGGCAGACUAGAGUACUGCAGGGGAGACUGGAAUUCCUGGUGUAGCGGUGGAAUGCGCAGAUAUCAGGAGGAACACCGGUGGCGAAGGCGGGUCUCUGGGCAGUAACUGACGCUGAGGAGCGAAAGCGUGGGGAGCGAACAGGAUUAGAUACCCUGGUAGUCCACGCCGUAAACGGUGGGUACUAGGUGUGGGUUUCCUUCCUUGGGAUCCGUGCCGUAGCUAACGCAUUAAGUACCCCGCCUGGGGGAGUACGGCCGCAAGGCUAAAACUCAAAAGGAAUUGACGGGGGGCCCGCACAA